UCACGGAUGGUGUUGUGAUGAGUGUGCGAUUCGCUUAGAUAAAUGUGGUGUCUGCAAAAUUGAAUUUCCUACAACACAACCCAUUCAAAUAAUGCACAUUAAAUUAUGAGAUGGUAAAUGGAUGCAAAAUACUUCCUUACUCGAUCCAACUGGAAGUCGGUGCCUCGGAUGUAUGCACCAUGUGCAAUAUGUACCAGACCAGGCGCAAUACAUUUUGUUUGACUGUGGCCAUGGAUGGUA